GUGCCAGCCGCCGCGGUAAGACAGAGGUGGCAAGCGUUGCUCGGAGUUACUGGGCAUAAAGGGCGCGUAGGCGGUCGUGCGCGUCGGAGGUGAAAUCCCCGGGCCUAACCCGGGAACUGCCUUCGAUACGGCACGACUGGAGUGCGGGAGGGGAGAGUGGAACUCCUGGUGGAGCGGUGAAAUGCGUAGAUAUCAGGAGGAACGCCGGUGGCGAAAGCGACUCUCUGGUCCGCAACUGACGCUGAGGCGCGAAAGCCAGGGGAGCAAACGGGAUUAGAUACCCCUGUAGUCC
rnacentral:rRNA from 1 species